rnacentral:rRNA from 1 species
UACGGAGGUGGCGAGCGUUGUCCGAAGUUACUGGGCGUAAAGCGCGCGUAGGCGGGGGAUUAAGUGAGAAGUGAAAGGCUGGGGCUCAACUCCAUGCAGUGCUUCUCAUACUGGUCUUCUUGAGGGGGGUAGAGAGAAGUGGAAUGGCUGGUGUAGCGGUGAAAUGCGUAGAUAUCGUCUGGAACGCCGAAGGUGAAAACAGCUCGCUGGGGCUGCGCUGACGCUGAGACACGAAAGCCAGGGGAGCGAACGGG